AGAGUUUGAUCCUGGCUCAGGAUGAACGCUGGCGGCGUGCUUAACACAUGCAAGUCGAACGAAGCACUUUAUUUGAUUUCUUCGGAAUGAAGAUUUUGUGACUGAGUGGCGGACGGGUGAGUAACGCGUGGGUAACCUGCCUCAUACAGGGGGAUAACAGUUGGAAACGACUGCUAAUACCGCAUAAGCGCACAGGGUCGCAUGACCUGGUGUGAAAAACUCCGGUGGUAUGAGAUGGACCCGCGUCUGAUUAGCCAGUUGGUGGGGUAACGGCCUACCAAAGCGACGAUCAGUAGCCGACCUGAGAGGGUGACCGGCCACAUUGGGACUGAGACACGGCCCAAACUCCUAUGGGAGGCAGCAGUGGGGAAUAUUGCACAAUGGGGGAAACCCUGAUGCAGCGACGCCGCGUGAGCGAAGAAGUAUUUCGGUAUGUAAAGCUCUAUCAGCAGGGAAGAAGAAAUGACGGUACCCGACUAAGAAGCACCGGCUAAAUACGUGCCAGCAGCCGCGGUAAUACGUAUGGUGCAAGCGUUAUCCGGAUUUACUGGGUGUAAAGGGAGCGCAGGCGGUACGGCAAGUCUGAUGUGAAAGCCCGGGGCUCAACCCCGGUACUGCAUUGGAAACUGUCGGACUAGAGUGUCGGAGGGGUAAGUGGAAUUCCUAGUGUAGCGGUGAAAUGCGUAGAUAUUAGGAGGAACACCAGUGGCGAAAGGCGGCUUACUGGACGGUAACUGACGUUGAGGCUCGAAAGCGUGGGGAGCAAACAGGAUUAGAUACCCCUGGGUAAUCCCCACCCCGUAAACGAAGAAAUACUAGGUGUCGGGGGCCGAAUAGGCUUUGGGUGCCGCAGCAAACGCAAUAAGUAGUCCACCUGGGGAGUACGUUCGCAAGAAUGAAACUCAAAGGAAUUGACGGGGACCCGCACAAGCGGUGGAGCAUGUGGUUUAAUUCGAAGCAACGCGAAGAACCUUACCUGCUCUUGACAUCUCCCUGACCGGCAAGUAAUGUUGCCUUUCCUUCGGGACAGGGAUGACAGGUGGUGCAUGGUUGUCGUCAGCUCGUGUCGUGAGAUGUUGGGUUAAGUCCCGCAACGAGCGCAACCCCUAUCUUUAGUAGCCAGCGGUUUAGCCGGGCACUCUAGAGAGACUGCCAGGGAUAACCUGGAGGAAGGUGGGGAUGACGUCAAAUCAUCAUGCCCCUUAUGAGCAGGGCUACACACGUGCUACAAUGGCGUAAACAAAGGGAGGCAGAACCGCGAGGUCGAGCAAAUCCCAAAAAUAACGUCUCAGUUCGGAUUGUAGUCUGCAACUCGACUACAUGAAGCUGGAAUCGCUAGUAAUCGCGAAUCAGAAUGUCGCGGUGAAUACGUUCCCGGGUCUUGUACACACCGCCCGUCA
rnacentral:rRNA from 1 species